rnacentral:rRNA from 1 species
GGGGUUUGACAUGUGAUCGUCCGGCAUGGAAACAUGCCUUCUCUUUCGGGAGCGGUUACACAGGUGCUGCAUGGUUGUCGUCAGCUCGUGACGUGAGAUGUUGGGUUAAGUCCCGCAACGAGCGCAACCCUUAUCCUUAGUUGCCAUCAGGUUAUGCUGGGAACUCUAGGGAGACUGCCGGUGAUAAACCGGAGGAAGGUGGGGAUGACGUCAAAUCCUCAUGGCCCUUACAUCCCGGGCUACACACGUGCUACAAUGGCAGGUACAGAGGGCUGCGAGACCGCGAGGUGGAGCGAAUCCCAGAAAACCUGUCUCAGUACGGAUUACAGUCUGCAGCUCGACUGUAUGAAGG